rnacentral:rRNA from 1 species
ACCAAGGCGACGAUCUGUACUUGGUCUGAGAGGAUGACCAGGCACACUGGAACUGAGACACGGUCCAGACUCCUACGGGAGGCAGCAGUGGGGAAUUUUCCGCAAUGGGGGCAACCCUGACGGAGCAAUACCGCGUGAGGGAGGACAGCUUUUGGGUUGUAAACCUCUUUUAUCAGGGAAGAAUUGAUGACGGUACCUGAUGAAUCAGCAUCGGCUAACUCCGUGCCAGCAGCCGCGGUAAUACGGAGGAUGCAAGCGUUAUCCGGAAUUAUUGGGCGUAAAGCGUCCGUAGGUGGCUUAAUAAGUCUGUUGUUAAAGCGUGCGGCUCAACCGCAUACGGGCAAUGGAAACUAUGAAGCUAGAGUGCGAUAGGGGUCACAGGAAUUCCCAGUGUAGCGGUGAAAUGCGUAGAUAUUGGGAAGAACACCAGCGGCGAAAGCGUGUGACUGGGUCUGCACUGACACUGAGGGACGAAAGCUAGGGGAGCGAAAGGGAUUAGAUACCCCUGUAGUCCUAGCCGUAAACGAUGACAACUAGGUGUGGUUCGUAUCGACCCGAGCCGUGCCGUAGCCAACGCGUUAAGUUGUCCGCCUGGGGAGUACGCACGCAAGUGUGAAACUCAAAGGAAUUGACGGGGGCCCGCACAAGCGGUGGAGUAUGUGGUUUAAUUCGAUGCAACGCGAAGAACCUUACCAAGGCUUGACAUCCUGCGAACCUUCUUGAAAGGGAAGGGUGCCUUCGGGAGCGCAGAGACAGGUGGUGCAUGGCUGUCGUCAGCUCGUGUCGUGAGAUGUUGGGUUAAGUCCCGCAACGAGCGCAACCCACGUUUUUAGUUGCCAGCAUUCAGUUGGGCACUCUAGAGAGACUGCCGGUGACAAACCGGAGGAAGGUGUGGAUGACGUCAAGUCAGCAUGCCCCUUACGC